GUCCCACAGCACGCCGUUUCCCAUCCCCGUCACUCUCUCUUAUUUCACCGUCACCACUCAUCUCGUUCCCCAUCCCCUUCCCCUCCCCAUGUUAUCCACUCAGGAGCUCGUCGGUGCUGCUGCCGGCGCGCCGUGGCGCACACGUUGCGACGGCGUGACUGACACCUCCCGAAGCAACGGUGCGACCCCCGCCUCUCCCUACGGCAUGGCUUCGCCAUCGUCAGCCUCCGACCCCAACCCCACUGCUCCGUGCUGUCCUUGCGAAGUCCAGGGGGCAGCGCUCUCGCCGACGAGUGCGUAGUCGGCGGCAUCCACGUGCGGCGCCCUCUGCCCCGCGUCCCCCGCUCCGCGCCCCCAGCUGCGCGGCGCCAGAUCGGUCGGCCUCUUCGGCUGGCAACGCGCGGUCGGCCUCUUCUACUCGCACCGCCUGGCGAGGCACGCGCGCCGUGCAGCGCGAGGACACCCUGCAGCAAGCCGUGCUCGCUCGGAUGGGCGGAGAUCGAGCAGGAACAGGGGAAUUGAUCUUACCUUCUCACGGUCGGCUCCCCUCUCUCCCGCCGCGUCCUGCAUCGGCAACUCCGUUGGAUUGGUACCGUCGGUGAAGUUUGAUCUUCGAGCAACUUGACGACGAAGAUAGGCCCAGCACUCUCACUGAUGAUAUUCUAUGUCCAUCUUGGGGAGAGUGAGUUCACUUGUGGCUACACGGUGGAGGCAUCUGCCUUGGUUGCUGCCUGAACUCAGCAUCGAUGUCCAAGAUUUCCUAUCCGCUCUGUGCGCUAACCCUAUUGAUGAAAAUGAUAUGGAGCAAGCCAUGGCCUCUUUGACCAAAGAAACAAGGAGUUUCUUGAAUAAACAACAGAGAGAAUUCACUAUCUCAAGUUUGCAUCUUAACCUCUAUUUGAUCAACACUUUCCUUCACAAAGUUGGCCCACUGAUAGGUGAUGCAAUUAACAGUGGUUUGUUGAAAGAUUUGGAUCUUGGCAUUCUUGAUGAGACAUGGACUAACGAUCGUAGCGACGAAGAGAUGCAACAACGAGCUCAACACAUAGAUGAUUUUUCACUGCCUACCCUUGUGUGCUCCACUGCCUCACAAAGCUCUUUCUAAAAAAUGUAGGCUUUGACAAAUUGGACAUGCACCAUGUGCUAUUCGACUCCUGCAAGCACCUGAAGCAUCUAACCCUUUAUCAUUGCGAUACUGGUUCCUAAUCUAUCUUUAAGAUUGAUGCACCAGACUCAAAACUCUCUGUUCUAGAAAUUGAAAAGUGUUGCUUUUUGAGAGUUGACCUUGUCUGCCUCCCGAAAUUGGAGAAGUUAUUUUGUGAUUAUUGGGUAUCUCGGUAUGCCCCAUUGACCUUUGGUUUUGUCCCAUCUCUUGGGGAGUUAGAACUCUCAUGCAGUUCAGUUUGUGAGGAACACAUAUUUAAAUGAAGUGAGCUUCUACAUGGAGUAACAAGCAUACAUACUCUCACAUUGGAUUUCCAAGGUGAAACCCCAUAUAUUAUUGAUGGAGCACUCAGUGAAAAUAGUUCGUAUGGAGGAUUUGAACAUUCUGGCAUUCCAGAUGGCAUUCCUCAACUGGAAGAGUACCUAGCUGUGUACUGCUCUAUGUCUGCACGACCUUGGCCUGCAGCAAAUUGGAAGUUGUACAUUGCCUCUUCACUGUUUCGAGGGGCAUCUAUCUAUGCAGGAGUAUACCAUAGAUGGACUAUGGGUAAUGCUUCAGGCGGUGAGCAUGCUAGAUUUGCCGGCAAGGCUGGCAAUGUUAUGGUUGACUGUGCGUGGGAUUACAUUAAUAGAGAAAAUGUCCUGAGAGCACACCCUGCUAGAGGUAUGCAUGUCUCGAAGGCUCCCCAACAAGGUUUCCAUGUAUCUCUCUCAAAAAAAACAAGGUUUCCAUGUAGAGCAGGAAGAUUCAAGUUUGACAAGUGGUCAAGGCAAAUUUGUUCCUAGCGAAAAGGUUAUGAAGCUACGACAUAAAAUAAUGAAGUUCAUGAAAGAUCAUAUAUAGCCCAAGGAAGAUGAGUUAUACAAACAUGCACAAUCAACCUCACGGUGGACAAUCCAUCCUGAAGAAGAAAAUUUGAAAGCAUUAGCAAAAGAGGAGGGAUUGUGGAACUUAUUUAUUCCGCUGUAUGGUAUUGAACAACGAAGGGUGUUGGCGUUGGCGAGCAUUAUCUUGACCCGCUUGUUCCCCUCGUUCACCCGCGCAAGCUCCGAUUUUGCCGCCGCUGGCUGUAAUAAGUCAUAGGCACAGAGGAUAAUAAGUAUCUCCACUGUUAUUCUGAAUAAUUGCAUAUAACAUCAUGGCAUGAAUGUUGACUAACAAAUCAGGAGUUGGUAUAUCUUGUCGAUUCAACAACACAAAUGAAUAUUAGCUUAUCAUUGCUGCUUAUUACGAAGAUGAUGCAAAUUGAAAAUGAAACUCUGUUUCUACCUCAUUCAUAUUCGCAUGUAUCUGCAUUAUAUUUACCCAUCCCGUGUGUGAAGUGUUUGUUGUUAUUUUCUGAACAAAUUAUUGUUUUUCUUUAUUAACUUUGCUAAUUUACCAAUUCAGGCCAGGUUUUCAAUGAGCUAGUAGGCAGCCCAUUCUAUGUUGCUCUUGAGGUAUUGCACAAACGCUAUGGGCCAGAGUCCGAUGUGUGGUGAGGUGGAGUGAUACUCUAUGUAUUGCUAAGUAGGGUUCCACCAUUUUGGGCAGAUACACAGAAAGGCAUAUUUGAUGCACUUCUGAAGGGGCACCUUGAUUUGGAAUCAGACCCCUCGCCUAAGAUAUCUGACAGUGCAAAGGACCUUAUAAGAAAGAUGCUUUGCAAUUUCCCUUCAGAGCGUUUGACAGCCCAUGAAGUGCUACCGGAAUGGCUCCUAGCACCUCCCGAAGGAAUCAAAAGCCAGGACAGCCUACAACUCUAACCCCAUCAUGAUGUUGCCAUGGACUUGAUAAAUAGUGUCACUGGGGUUGAUGAGGAAGGUUGCUCUCGCCAACGUAUUCUUACCUUUGCAGCCAAAAGAUAUAUUAGCACCAUUGAAAGAAAUCCAGAAGAUCCUGAUCCAUAUUAUAACUGGGCCCUAGUUCUCCAGGAAAGUGCAGAUAAUGUGGAUCCUAACUCUGAUUCUUCAAAAGAUUCAUUACUUGAGGAGGCUUGCAAGAAGUAUGCUGAAGCUACAUGACUUUGCCCAACACUGUAUGACGCAUACGAUGUGCACAGAUGUUAUUUGAGCUUCACUCCCCACUUCCACAGUCACAAGUCCAAACAUCACCAGAAGUCUACUGAUACACAAUGUCGGGUUUUGUUGGCUCUGUAUAGCGCAUCAGCACAACAACAAUCCACUAUAAUUUUAUUCAAGCUAGCUAGGUUGCUAGACGAUGGGUGUCGAAAUAUAUUCUAUCUCUUAAAUUUGGAAGUCUUGACAAGGUAAUGAUGCUUCCCUCAGUUGUCUUCCCUCAUUUGUAUGGAGUCGUAUUUAGAAUAUUUGUCAGUUUAUACACAAUUUGUCAGUUUAUUUAGGAUAUUUGUUCACUCUGUAUAGCGGGUUGAAUUGAACAAUUUGCUAUGUGCUAGUCAUAAGCUUGCUCUAUUAUAGCGGGGGCGUACCAAAGGCUGAAGAAUUCUGGCAACAGAUCAUAUGCUUGCUCGCAUUCUCUGAUGGUUCUAAUUUUACUAUGUGCUAGACCAAAGGGCAAAAGGUUUCAAAUUUUUUCAGUUGUGCUACAUUCCAAAUUCGCAUCUAGUGAUCCAGUUUUUGAGUUUUUCACAUUGUCAAUAAAAAAAGGGGCCAUGCUAUUUCCUAAGUCUCUAGCCCAAACUUGAGAUCUAAUAAUAUUCAUGUGUUUUACUCCUUUUCCUUUUUUCGCACAUAGAGAAUAUAUAUUAUUUGAAGCUGAUCAAUAUCCAGUUUUACUGAUUAGCCCAAACUUAAGAUCUAAUAAUAUUCAUGUGUUUUACUCCUUUUCCUUUUUUCGCACAUACAUAAUAUAUAUUAUUUGAAGCUGAUCAAUAUCCAGUUUUACUGAUUAGGUAAUCGUUAUUUCUACAGAAGCUGAUUAGAUCAAAUCUCCGAACUCAAAAUUAUGAAAAUCCCAUAAAAUGAACGCAUGGGAAGUACACAAUAGUGGAACAACUCACGGGAAGACAAAUCCCAACAGGCUGUCCUGAGAUCAAGGCACACUAGUUGAGCUCCUGUCGUGAGAUAACGCCUCGUCCACAGCCAGUCGAUCUUGCCAUCGAGGUUGCUCUUCAGAAAUAGAGAGCGGCAAACCAAGCUACUCUUGAGAAAGAGAGAUUGGCAAGCCAGGCUGCUCUUCAGGCUGCUCUUGAGGAG